GUGGGUACAGCACCUUUAAGCAGAUGGAGGCACAUUAACACGAUGGAGAGAGAGGGAAGCACGGAGGACUCCAAGCUAGACUGAAAUGCAAGGGAAUGAAACUUCCUCUACCUGUAUCUUGUUAGCAAAUGUACAGUUGCUGGAGACCAAGACUGAGGACCUAAGGGCAGGUUUGCUGUAUUGGAGGGAAAUGAGAAAUUGCUGGGUUCUGUUUUUCAUGGAGACAUGGCUUACUCUAGACAUGCUGGAUGACCCAAGGACAUCUUGAUACACAGGAGAGGCCAGACUGCUGAUUCAGAGAUGGGAAAAGGUAGGGGUCUGUGUUUCAUGAUAAACUCUUUGUGGCACACAAGCACGGUGGGCUUUUUCCCCUGACCUGGAACAUCUAAUGAUUAAGUUCUAGCUCUUCUACGUACCGAGACAGUUCUUCUCUGUGAUCCUGACUGAAGUUUACAUACUGUCAAAGGCAGAUGUUAAACAGGCACUCAAAGUAGUGAAUGCUUUCAUCAGCAAACAAUAAACAGCUUACCCUGUUGUCUUUGAAAUCAUUGUUGGUAAAUUUAAUCAUGCUUGUUUGAACAAGUUUGUGUCCAAUUAUCAUUUGCAUAAAACCUGCAGUAUCAGGGGUUCCAACACAUUCUACCAUUGCUUUACUACGAUUAGGAGUACUUAUCAUUCCAUCCCUAGACUUUGGGGAGAUCUAACCACUUGGCUGUCCUUAUCCAAUCUGCAUACAGGCAGAGGCUAAAGAGCAAGGCUGCAGAGAUAAGGACAACAAAGAGUUGGUCACGAGAGGCAGAGGAGUGUCUACAGGACUGCUCCGAGUUAGUACACUGGGCUGUUUUCAAGGAUGCCUCGGAACAGUCAUAGACAAGUGUAUCCCCACAAAAUCAUUCAGUCUUCCCCAACCAGAUGCCCUGGAUGAACCAUGAGAUUUGCAAUCUGCUGAAGGCCGGAUUGGAGGCAUUCAAGUCUGGUGACUAAGUAAGAUACAAGGGGUACAGGUACAAUCUCCAGAAAGACAUCUCAUGUGCAAAGUGGCAAUUCUGGACCAAAUUUGAAUCACUGAAGGAUGCUUGACAACUGUGGAAUGGCUUGAAUGCUAUUAACUCUGACAAUAUGAAACCAAGUGACUUAGGUGACACAAGACUUCUCUCCCAGAUGAUCUAAAUGCCUUCUAUGCUCACUUUGACCGUCAAAACAGGAAAGAACCUUCACAAGCUCGCACAGCCGCUGAUGACCCUGUGAUCUCAGUUUCUGAGGCUAAUGUGAGAGCAUCCUUCAGGAGGGUGAACUCAUGGAAAGUAUCUGGCCUAGGUGGGGUACCUAGAUGAGUACGAAAGUCUUGUGCUGAUCAACUGACUGGAGUGCUCACUUAAACCUCUCACUUUGCCAAUCUUUGGUACCAACUGUUUCAAGCAGGUUUCAAUUAUAUCAGUGCCUAAUAAGAAUGUGCUAACCUGCCUGAGUGCUAUCGCCCAGUUGCACUUACAUCCACUGUAAUGAAGUACUUUGAGUGGUUGGUGAUGAAACAUAUCAACAAUCCCUGAGAAGUGAUUUGGAUCCAGUCCAAUUUGCCCACCAUCACAACUUGUCCACAGCAGAUGCCGUUUCACUGUCUCUUCAUUCAUCCCUGGAACAUUUGGACAGUGAAGAUUCAUACAUCAGGAUUCUCUUCUUCAGCUACAGCUCAGCAUACAAUACUAUCAUACCCUCAAAAGUAACCAGUAAGUUUCAAGACCUUGGCUACACUAGAUCAUUGUGCAACUCAAUUCUGGAUUUCCUCACUUGCAGACCUCAGUCAGUUCAGAUUGGCAAAAACAUCUCCUCCAUAAUCUCCAUCAGAUGCACAGAUGCAUCGCAAGGCUGUGUGCUUAUCGCCCUGUUCAACUCGCUUUAUACUUAUGACUGUGAAGCUAAGCAAAUAUGCCAUAUUUAAGUUUGCUGACGACACCACUGUUGGUCGAAUCAAAGAUGGUGAUGAAUCAAAAUAUUGGAGGGAGACUGAAAAUCUGGCUGAGUGGUGCCACAGCAACAAUUUCUCACUCAAUGUCAGUAAGACCAAAGGUCUACUUAUUUAUUUCAGUGGGAGGGAACCCAAGGUCCAUGAGCCAGUGUUCAUUGGGGAAUCAGAGGUGGAGACGGUAAGCAACAUUAAAUUUCUCAGUGUCAUCAUUUCAGGCAGUCUGGCCUGGGCUCAGCACAUAAGUGCUAUUAUGAAGGAAGCAUGGCAAUGUCUCUGCUUCCUUAAAAUUUGUGAAGAUUCAGCAGGGUAUCUUUAGCUGUGACAAACUUCUAUAGAUGUAUAGUGGAGAGGGUAUUGAUUGGUUACAUCAUGGCUGUGUAUGGAAACACUGAUGCCCUUGAACAGAAAAUCCUACAGAAAGUAAUGGAUAUGUCCCUAUCCAUCACAUGGAAAGCCCACCCCACCAUUGAGCACAUCUACAAGAUGCACUUUCACAGGAAAGCAGCAUCCAUUAUCAAGCACCACCACCAUCUAGGGCAUGCCCUCUUCUCGCUUCUGCUAUCAGGGAAAAGGUACAGGUGCUUCAGGAGAAACAGCACCAGGUUCAUGAGCCAAUGUUUCCCCUCAACCAACAGGCUCUUGAACCAGUUGCAGUACCUUCCCUCAAUUUCACUCACCUCAUCGUGGUACUGUUCCAAUAACCUAUUGACUCAUUCACCUCAUAUUCUCAAAAUUUAUUGCUUAUUUAUUUAUUAUCAUUUACUUUUUCUUUCUUUUUGUAUUUGCAAAGUUUGUUGUCUCUUGUAUAUUGGUUGUUUGCCCUGCUGAGUGUGGUCUUUCAUUGAUUCAGUUGUGUUUCUUGGAUCUACUGUGCAAGUCUGCAAGAAAAUGAAUCUCAGGGUUGUAUGUACUUUGAUAAUAAAUUUACUUUGAACUUUGAACUCAAUAACAAUAUUCAAUAUUGACCGAUUGGUGUCUGCAAAACUACAUUUGAGUUCUGAAAUAAUAAUCUACUUCAAUCUUCCUUCUAUAUGUAGGAAAAUUUCUGUUGUUGCUUCUGCCUUAUUAAUAUUAAAAUGCAUGCAUUUCAGUCUAAAUGCGUUGACCUCCAGUAGAAUUGCUUCUUUUCUCAAAGUAAAGGAAUGGGCUGCCAAUUAAAGUAAGUUUUCAGCUUCUUGCUUUUAUUUUAAUUAAAUUAAUUAAUUUACAAACGUGUGUAUUUAGAGAUGCAGUGCAGAACAGUCCUUAUGGCCUAAUGAGAUGCACCGCCCAGCAAACCAGCUAUUUAACUCUAGCCUAAUCACUGGGCAAUUUUCAUUGACAAAUUACCUUACUAAGCAUUAUGUCUUUGGACUGUGGGAGGGAAUCCGAGCACCCAGAGGAAACCCAGGCAAUCAUGGGAGAAUGUACAAACUCUUUUUUACGGAUGACACAGGAAUUGAACUCAGAUCUCCGGAAUGCCCCAGGGUGCAAUAGCAUUACACUAACUACAGGCUACACUACACUACACUACACUAACUAUGUAGGUAUGAGAGCAGGUAACUUCAUCAACCCCUCCUCCAUCCACACACCUUCCCCUUCAUCUGGACUCACCUAUCGCUGGACGGCUUGUACACCUUCCUCACCUCCCCAAAAAUCUUCUUAUUCUGGCUUCUGUCCCUUACCUUUCCAGUUUAGAUGAUGGGUCUCAGCCUAAAAUCUUUAUUCCCUGUCAUAAAUAUUGCCUAACUUCCCGAGCUCUUCCAGGAUAGUGUGUUGCACGAGGUUUACAGCAUCUGCAGAAUCUCAUACUUAUAAUUAAAGUAAGUCCCUUUAUUCCUUUUUGUGCUAUUGAUUGAAAUCCUGAAUUUAUAUUUAUUGUCUGGAUGCACAUAGAUGGACAAGAUCACCAUCCAUUUGAAGGAUGGACUAAAUGCUCACACUUAGCCUAAGAAUAUUUAGUGUAUUGACUGUCUUACAUUAAAAACAAGACCAAUGUUCUUGAUUAUUGGGCACAUUCUCUGCUAUGUAUGACGAUUACCCUCUGCUACAAGAUCUCGGAUCAUUUAAACUGACAGCUAGAAAAUAGAACAGUACAGGUCCUUCGAUGCACAAUGUUGUGCCAAGCCUUUAAACUACUCUAAGAUCAAUCUAAUCCUUCCCUCCCCCAACACCGUCCGCUCUUCUUUCAUCCACAUGCUUAUCUAAAAGUCUCUUAAACAUCCCUAAUAUAUCUGCCUCUAUUACCAGCUCACCAGUGUGUUCCACACACCCAGCACUCUGUGUGAAAAAUCCUACAUCAGACACCUCCCCCCCCCCAUAGCUUCUCUCAACACCUUAAAGUUAUGCCCCCUCUUAUUAGCCAUUUCUGACCUGGUGUCCAACCUAUCUCUGUCUCUUACCCCAUCUACAUUUGAAAUGUCAUUGUCAACAGUGAACUAUAGAUAAAAAUAACUUGGUUUUGUUUAUACCCAAAUGCACUUGAUCACCCAUGGUACCUUGUUAGAAACAUUUCAGAUACACAAUAGCGCGAAUGAUUAUGUUUAAUUAUCAUCAAAGCAAGCAACUACGACAGCUGGCCAGUGUCUGUUUGCCUGAUGCAUUGAGUAUGUUUUUGCCCUUUAGGGACACACACUCGAGUACAGAGACUUUAUGUGAAUGGUGAUGAUCAGUUAAUUAGGGAACAGCUGAAGUACGGUAUAUAACUGAAGCUGUUAAAAUAUUGCAACAUCUACUCAGCCUCUGAAGCUCUAUUUCCAGAGGACCACAGAGUAGAGGUGGAGCGGCAAUAUUAAAGAGCAACUGACCUUAAUCCUUGAUUGCAAGGUUGUUGUUCCUCUCCGUGCUUUUGGUGCAUCAUGUGGCAGUCUUGCUUUUUCUUUUACAUUUGUCUCUCUUUUUUACUAGCUCAACCCAGCAUGGAUGGAAAGCAUGCGAGGAGCUGGCCAGGUUCAAAGCCGGCACCACUCACCUCGAAGUCUGGCGCGGAUGCCAUUACACCACUGGCCAGCUAAUGAUUGCAGGGAGGCACCUGAAUGUUUAGCGUGCAGGUGAAGACAGUUACUUGAAGUGCCAAUUCCUGAAAAGCUAUCCAAGAACCUGGCAGGAAGGAAUCUUUCAAAAGAUGCUGCCUGAAAAUUCAUCAAAUUACAAGACAUAUAAAGAGUAUGCUGAGCAAACAAAUACAAAUAGACUGUACAGGGAAGCGAUAAUGAUAACAAGUCAUAUGGCAGAUUUAGACAGAGCACCAAUUUCGGAUUUCCAGCAUCUGAAGCUUUUGGACUCCAAAGAGAACAACUGGUCAAAAUGUACUUCCUCAGAAGCAGACAUUAAUUUCUAUAAAAUGGUUAACGUUACUCAAUCUAAAAUGUUACUUGCUAAAAGUAACCUAAUUUGCAUUUCUGAAUGUCAAAAUGCUUUUAUAUCCUGAAAUCUGAUGCCUUCCAAAGGGAAGCAGGAGUGUGACAGUCACUGUUGGCACAAAGGCCUGUACUGACUGAUAAAAUAAUUUACAUUUCGAUAAUUCAAUGUUAGCUGAUUCCACAAACUCUCUCGGGUAAACUGACCCUUGCAGAAAAAUAAUUUUCUGUGGACAAGUUUCAAAUAUGCCAAUACCAAGAGUCCUACCAUCUGAUACAGAUGACCAAAAAAGCCUUUCAAAUGCAUUCUUGUCUAGACUGCCCUUAAGACAAUCGUUUUUUCGUAAAGUAGCAAAGACAAUAAAAUAUAGUUAAAAAAUAGGAAACAAUGAAAAAUAUACACUUAAGUUCUGUUGUGCUAGAUAGCUGUAGGGCCACAUUGACUGUCUUAUAGUCUCACUGACUUACACUUGACUGAUAGGCACCCUGAAGCGAGACAGAGACAUUAACAGCUACUGACCUAUUUAUUUGCUCAGCUGUACUGAACUGCUUGCCAUGGGAGGCUAAGAAAGUGAAGACAAAUAUAAUCAUCAUGAAACAUUUAUCACCGGCUAAAUUAUUUUUGCUGUUAAGUUACUAAGUUGCAUUGCAUAGAAAUUAGAUAUUUAUAUGCUUCAAUGGAACAUUAAGUCAUGCACUACUAUUAAAGCUAUGUUAUUAAAUAAUUUUAUUAAUUCCUCGGCAAACCAACAAUAAUGAUUUCAUUGGAUCAGCCCUCAUUGUUUGGACAGCACAUUUUGUAGUCAUUUUUAUGAAGAUAUUAGCUGACAUCCAUAUCAGCCUCCAGCAGAGAGGGUUUAAGUAUAGUCUCCAAGAUGAAAUAUACUGGGGUCUCAAGAGGACAGAUUUGCUUUGUGUCAUUACUUGGUCACUAACAGAACUUCAAAUUUUAAAAGGGAGCACUCAUGUAGAACACU